CUUUGGACUAGAACUUUUGCAAUAGAACAAUAUGACUGGCUUUUAGAAUGACAAUAUUGUUCCGGAAUUUUUAGCUGGCACUCAGAUUUCUGUCUGCCUCUCAUUGGCAAACAUGACAUUUCAGCAAUUUCUCUAAAGAGGAAUGAUUGGGGGGUCUGUACAGCAGGCAUCAUGUAAGAAAAACUCACACCUCACGACAUAUUUGUUUGAUUUAUUCAGCAGACUUCAGCAAAGGAAAGAUGUGAAAGCAACCCUUGGUUGUUGAUGAUCCUUAACCAAGUAUGAACUGUGUGGGUUUACUUAGAUGAGGAGUUUCUUCUGCCUCUGCCACCCCUGAGACAGCAAGACCAACUUCUCUUCCUCUUCCCCGUUAACCUAUUCAACGUGAAGGCCACAAGGAUGAAGAUCUUUAUGGUGAUCCACUUCCAUUUAAUAAAUAGCAUUUCUGGAAACAACUAGGCCUUUCUCAUAAAUGUUUUUGCCAAUUUCUAUCAUGUCCCAUGUUAUUGUAUGCUGUUUGCUCCAUGGGGAAAGAAGAGAAGGAGACAGAGUGAAAGGGAGGCUGAGAACUGUGGAAGUUAACCUGCUCAUAUCAGUACCAGAGUGUUGUCCAUUGAGUGGCUCUGCAAAGGCACCCAGCAACAGUGAGGGUGAGCAGAAGAAAACUGCAGACACUGGCAAAUACCAUGGUCCAGUGAGGAGUGAGUGAAUAAAUGCCAUUCUUUUUCCUUAUACUUUUGAUUUGCUCUGGGUGCCUCCAAUUGACCAAACUCAUCUGCAACCAGAGUAUAAGGAAGGAAGCCCAUAGAGAAGAUCCUCCUGGAGCAUAUCGUGGUACAGAAGAGGGUGGAAAAUGGAUCCAAAUUGACAAAGGGAAAACCAUUUAAUGGUUGUGGGCACUUUGUAGAACAUUUGGAAAAUGCCGGAAGUCAUACAGAGGAAAAACCAUUAAGGGUGGUUCUAAAAGGGCAAAGAAGCUAUCUAUACAUUGUUAGAUAGAUUUUUAAAAAUCAUAAACAGAAACCCUGGAUUUUGUAAAAAAAGAUUCCU